rnacentral:lncRNA from 1 species
CUUGUGAUUUCAAUUUUUUAGAGUCCCUUUCAUAAGAUUAUAUCAUUCUUGGAAGCUCAUAAUAUCGUGUUCCAUUGUCAAAUUCCGAAAACUGCAAAAUUUAUCACAAAUAUUUCAGCCAUGAUCUUAAAAUUGAAAAUCAGUGAUCAGAUUACACGCGCCCCCUUGGUGCUAUUGAAGAUAAUGUUACACGCACUUCCGAACGCACAUUAUAUGACAUGCGCAUUACAAUGGCCGGACAAAUAGCCCUGGCACUAUUCGUCCGGCUAGCCGGACAAAUAGCCACUCCGUACUAUUUAUA